GACGAACGCUGGCGGCGUGCUUAACACAUGCAAGUCGAACGGAAAGGCCCUGCUUUUGUGGGGUGCUCGAGUGGCGAACGGGUGAGUAACACGUGAGUAACCUGCCCUUGACUUUGGGAUAACUUCAAGAAACUGGGGCUAAUACCGGAUAGGAGCUCCUGCUGCAUGGUGGGGGUUGGAAAGUUUCGGCGGUUGGGGAUGGACUCGCGGCUUAUCAGCUUGUUGGUGGGGUAGUGGCUUACCAAGGCUUUGACGGGUAGCCGGCCUGAGAGGGUGACCGGCCACACUGGGACUGAGAUACGGCCCAGACUCCUACGGGAGGCAGCAGUGGGGAAUAUUGCACAAUGGGCGGAAGCCUGAUGCAGCAACGCCGCGUGCGGGAUGACGGCCUUCGGGUUGUAAACCGCUUUCGCCUGUGACGAAGCGUGAGUGACGGUAAUGGGUAAAGAAGCACCGGCUAACUACGUG
rnacentral:rRNA from 1 species